UCUCCAGCUGUUUUCGGACUACAAUUCCCAUCAUCCCUGACUGGUCUUGCUAGCUAGGGAUGAUGUGAGUUGUAGUCCAAAACAGCUGGAGA